rnacentral:rRNA from 1 species
GACGAACGCUGGCGGCGUGCCUAAUACAUGCAAGUAGAACGCUGAAGGAGGAGCUUGCUCUUCUGGAUGAGUUGCGAACGGGUGAGUAACGCUUAGGUAACCUGCCUGGUAGCGGGGGAUAACUAUUGGAAACGAUAGCUAAUACCGCAUAAGAGUAGAUGUUGCAUGACAUUUACUUAAAAGGUGCAAUUGCAUCACUACCAGAUGGACCUGCGUUGUAUUAGCUAGUUGGUGGGGUAACGGCUUACCAAGGCGACGAUACAUAGCCGACCUGAGAGGGUGAUCGGCCACACUGGGACUGAGACACGGCCCAGACUCCUAAGGGAGGCAGCAGUAGGGAAUCUUCGGCAAUGGACGGAAGUCUGACCGAGCAACGCCGCGUGAGUGAAGAAGGUUUUCGGAUCGUAAAGCUCUGUUGUAAGAGAAGAACGAGUGUGAGAGUGGAAAGUUCACACUGUGACGGUAUCUUACCAGAAAGGGACGGCUAACUACGUG